UACAGAGGUCUCAAGCGUUGUUCGGAUUCAUUGGGCGUAAAGGGUGCGUAGGCGGCGCGGUAAGUCGGGUGCGAAAUCUCGGAGCUUAACUCCGAAACUGCAUUCGAUACUGCCGUGCUUGAGGACUGGAGAGGAGACUGGAAUUUACGGUGUAGCGGUGAAAUGCGUAGAUAUCGUAAGGAACACCUGUGGCGAAAGCGGCUCACUGGACCAUUACCGACGCUGAUGCACGAAAGCUAGGGGAGCAAACAGG
rnacentral:rRNA from 1 species